GACCCCGUGAACCUUUACUACAGCUUGGCACUGAACAUUGACCCUACAUGUGUAGGAUAGGUGGGAGGCUUUGAAGCAAGUACGCCAGUAUUUGUGGAGCCGUCCUUGAAAUACCACCCUUGUAGUGUUGAUGUUCUAACGUCGACCCCUAAUCGGGGUUACGGACAGUGCCUGGUGGGUAGUUUGACUGGGGCGGUCUCCUCCCAAAGAGUAACGGAGGAGCACGAAGGUGGGCUAAUCACGGUUGGACAUCGUGAGGUUAGUGCAAUGGCAUAAGCCCGCUUAACUGCGAGAAUGACGGUUCGAGCAGGUGCGAAAGCAGGUCAUAGUGAUCCGGUGGUUCUGAAUGGAAGGGCCAUCGCUCAACGGAUAAAAGGU
rnacentral:rRNA from 1 species